UCCUCUUCUCCACUCAUUAGUCACAUUGCUUGCAAGGCUUAUAGUGAUGUGCAUUACCGAGAGGGCCUAGAAACACCUCUCCGACAAUGUGACGCCCGGAUAAUUAAGCUACAGUGAUCCCCGCUAAUGAUGCCACGUCACCUCGGUUACUGUGGAUAAACUCGCGUUAGUUCGAAACCUAGUUCGAAUUUCAAAUUUAAAACAGAGGCAAACAAUAAAAGUUUCCAAACAUUAAAACUAAAAUGUUUGGAGUGUGCCAAUUAAUGCUUAGGUAUUUAUGGUGAAGAAACCACGCUUUUACAGAAUGCCUAAAUACUUUAAAAUAAAUUAAAACAGAAAAGAAAUAAGAUGAGAAAAAGAAAAGGAAAAACAAAAACAGAAAACUAACAAAAAAGAAAAGGAGCCCCCCUCCCACUGGGCCAACCGGCCCAGCUGGCCACCAGGCCGACUAGGACGGCCCACCCCACUCCCUAUACACCCCUGCCGAAACCCUAACCGACACCCAGCAACCCCCACUCCCCCCACUCGCUCGCCUCUCCCUCUCCUCUCGAUCCCGUCUGGAUCGGGGAGGGGCCCGACCUCGGCGUGCCGCCCGCGCCGCCCGUCCUCCCCGCGACCCGACGCCGCAGCCGCACACUGUCGCCGCCUCAUCCCGCCUGGACCCCGCCGUUCGUCGGACUCCCUCGCCGGAUCUUGACCUCGCCGUCGCCCGAAGCCGACUCGCCGGACUGCCUCCCCAUCUCCGUCGCGCGUCCCUGUCUUCCACCUCGAGCCCUGCUGCCCUAGUCCCUACGGCCCCACGGUGAGGAACCCUGGCGUCCUCCCCUACUCUGACCCCGCACGGCUGCGCCCGGUCAUGCCUCCGCUCACACGCAGCUCGCCCCUCCCCUGCACACCGCUCGGGGCCGCGCCGAGCGCCCCCUGCACGCGCCUGUGCGCGCCCACCCGCGCCCCGUGGUUGCGCCCUCGACCAUCGCUAUCGGUUGCCUGCGUAGCGCCCCUCUCCUCCACGUGCUCGCACCGUUGCUGUGCGCCCCGUGCCGCGCACUCCGGCCCGCCCCUGCUUCCCCCCGCUCUGCUCCGCCUCCGGCCGUGGCCAAGCCCGCGCCCGCAGCCUGCCGCGCACCCUCGGCCCCUGCUGCUCCCUCGCCCGCAUCACCUCCGCUGCACUGGAGCCCCGACCGUGGCCGCUGGCCGCGCACGGGCCAUGGCCUCGUCGGCUCUGCCUCCGCCGCCGCACUAGGCCAACAGCCCCGCUCGCGCCCGCUACUGCCACGGCCCUGCUCGCUUCGUCGCCGCCUCCACCGCGCCUGCUCGCCGCAGCCGCCGGCACCCCGACGCCUCCACUGGCCUGGGCCGGCGCCCAAACGGGCUGACGCCCGCAGUGCCCGCUGGCGCCCGAUGCCCGCUAAGGACCUCCUGCCUAUGACAAGUGGGCCCCAGCCCCUGAGAACAUUUAAGAAAAAGAAUAUGAAAAAAAGUAAAGUAAAUAAUAAUUAAAUUAAUUAAUUAAGUGAACUAAUUAACCUAAUUAAUCAUGUUACUUAACCUGUUAACUACUUAAUUAGUCUAACUAAUCCUGUUAGUUAACUAGGCAGCCAAUGACAGGGGCCCCACCCCCUGUUGACCAGUCAAAGUUUGACCGGUCAACUGGGUCCCCCUGGUCUCACAUGUUAGCCAGUGUACAUUUUUGGGUACACUGUGUUGGGUACAUCUAGCAAUUUAACAUUAAAUUUUCGAAUUAAAAUAAAUUAGAAAAUGAAUUAAAAAUUUGGAAAUUAAUAUACAAUAAUCCGUGACUCGGAUGAAAAUACUUUGUACAUGAAAGUUGCUCAGAACGACGAGACGAAUCCAAAUACGUAGCCCGUUCAUCCGCCACACAUCCCUAGCAUAGCGAACACGCAACUUCCCCCUCCGGUUCAUCUGUCUGGAAACGCGAAACACCGGGGAUACUUUCCCGGAUGUUUCCCCCCUUCGUCGGUAUCACCUACUACCGCGUUAGGGCACACCUAGCAACGCUCAUUGUCAUGUCAUGCAUCGUCAUGCAUAUGUUUGCAUUAUAUUUAUUGUUUCUUCCCCCUCUUCUCUCGCUAGACACCGAGACCGACGCCGCUGCUACCCAGUACGACUACUGUGUUGACGACCCCUCCUUCUCGGCUGAGCUUCCAGGCAAGCCCCCCCUUGAUCACCAGAUAUCGCCUAUUCCUUCUCUCUACUGCUUGCAUUAGAGUAGUGUAGCAUGUUACUGCUUUCGAUUAAUCCUAUUCUGCUGCUUAGCCUGACAUUGUUGCUACAGUUGUUGAUAACUUACUUGCAAUCCUAAAUGCUUAGUAUAGGAUGCUAGUAUUCCAUCAGUGGCCAUACAUUCUUGUCCGUCUGCCAUGCUAUACUACCGGGCCGUGAUCACUCGGGAGGUGAUCACGGGUAUACACUUACAUACAUAUUAUAUGAUACAUGUGGUGACUAAAGUCGGCUCGUAGAGUACCCGCAAGUGAUUCCGAUGUGGGGGCUGAAAGGACAGGUGGCUCCAUCCCAGUAGAGGUGGGCAUGGGUUCCCGACGGCCCCUAUUGUUACUUUGUGGCGGAGCGACAGGGCAGGUUGAGACCACCUAGAUGAGAGGUGGGCCUGGCCCUAGUCGGCGUCCGCGGUUACUUCAUAGUAACACGCAUAACGAGAUCUUGGUAUUUGAUCCGAGUUGGGUCGUUGACCUUAUACGCACUAACCGCCACGUGGGACAAGAUAUGGGCAACCGGCGUCGUGGUAUCAGCCGAAGCUCUUUUUGACGUCAGCGACUGAGCGGCGCGCGCCGAGUUGGACCGCGUAAUGCAACUUCCUUUGUAAUGGAGGUUGCUAGGUCUGCUCACCGGCCGCGUACGCAACGUGCAGGUGUGCAAUGGGCGAUGGGCCCAGACCCCUGCGCGCAUAGGAUUUAGACCGGCGUGCUGACCUCUCUGUUGAGCCUAGGUAGGGCUGCGACGUGUUGAUCUCCCGAGACCGGACAUGACCCAGGAAAGUGUGCCCGGCCAGAGGGAUCGAGCAGGUCGGGUAAUGUGGUGCACCCCUGCAGGGAAGUUGAUCUAUUCGAAUAGCCGUGUCCACGGUAACAGGCGACCCGGAGUUGUACCUUGACCUUAUGACAACUAAAACCGGAUACUUAAUAAAACACACCCUACCAAGUGCCAGAUAUAACCCGGUGAUCGCUCUCACACAGGGCGACGAGGGGAGGAUCUCUGGGUAGGAUUAUGCUAUGCGAUGCUACUUGGUGAACUUACCAUCUACUCUCUUCUACAUGCUGCAAGAUGGAGGCUGCCAGAAGCGUAGUCUUUGACAUGACUAGCUAUCCCCCUCUUAUUCUGGCAUUCUGCAGUUCGGUCCACCGAUAUUGCCCCUUUACACAGAUACCCUUGCAUUUGUAGUGUAGAUCCUUGCUUGCGAGUACUUUGGAUGAGUACUCACGGUUGCUUUUCUCCCUCUUUCCCCCCUUUGCAUUCUACCAGGUUGUCGCAACCAGAUGCUGGAGCCCAGGAGCCAGACGCCACCGUCGACGACGACUCCUACUACACCGGAGGUUCCUACUACUACGUGCAGGCCGCUGACGAUGACCAGGAGUAGUUUAGGAGGAUCCCAGGCAGGAGGCCUGCGCCUCUUUCGAUCUGUAUCCCAGUUUGUGCUAGCCUUCUUAAGGCAAACUUGUUUAACUUAUGUCUGUACUCAGAUAUUGUUGCUUCCACUGGCUCGUCUAUGAUUGAGCACUUGUAUUCGAGCCCUCGAGGCCCCUGGCUUGUAUUAUGAUGCUUGUAUGACUUAUUUUAUUUUUAGAGUUGUGUUGUGAUAUCUUCCCGUGAGUCCCUAAUCUUGAUCAUACACGUUUGCGUGUAUGAUUAGUGUACGAUUGAAACGGGGGCGUCACAAGUUGGUAUCAGAGCCGACUGCCUAUAGGAAUCCCCCUUCCAAACUCCUUGGCCGAAGUCGAGUCUAGACAUUUCUAAACUUUUACUAACAUGGCUGUGUGCGUUACGGGCCCACGUCGCCAUUGGGUGGUAUUAGGAUCUUUUACUCCUCGUCUAUACUCUGGGACUCUGAUCUCUCUUCUAUUCGGGAUAAAUGAAUUUUGCUAAAUCUAACAUUAGGAUCUCGUUUUCACUUUCACUCGGAGAGCACCUUAUUACCGAUGAUCGUCUCCUUCACCAGAAGACCCUGAAGAUAAUCUUCGCUAUUAACCCGAGAACUUGUGUUCAUCGCAUUUGCAAUUCUCCUUCCACCGUCAACCCUUAUGGAUAACUACAUGCAGUUGUCAUUCUUACAUUCAUCCCCAGUUGGUCUUGUUAUUACAAGAUACCCCGAAAUACUCGUCGUUGUUUCGAUAAUCCUUUGUGCCUACUGCCUUUUAGUUCCUUGUCGCCUGAAUACACCUACAAAUUAAUCCUCACACUUACCGAGGAUUUGUUUCUCCCCAGUUGUUCAGGUGUUUCACAAAAUUCUUCGAAAUAUUAUCCGAUCUUUCGAGAAUUCUCUGCAGCCUAUGGCUCUAGAAAUUCUUGUCUGCCUGCAUUAUGGUUAAAUCCAAAUGCCUAGCAUUAUUCAUUGACAUCCUUUGCACUAUCAAUUUGAGACCGUUGAUUCAAUAUGAUGCGGAUGUUCGCAAUCAUUAGUCGCAAUUAGAAUUCAUCCUUCUGGCUCAGACGUCAUUUUUGAACAUAAGCUGGUUCUCGACCAAUCAAAUUGUCGUCGAUUGUACCCCUAAGCUUACUCAUCUUAUCCUUCCUUAAUCAGAGCGUUUGCUUCUGAUCCCUUGAUUUGGAAAUCAUAAUUCCUUUGAUUUUGAGCUUUCAAUCAAUCAGUUGUUUCUAUAAUCUGAUCUCCUUACAUUCUUUCUUCCUUUGGUUGAGUACAGAUGCUCACAUAAGACCCCUUGAGGACCACCGGGUCCUUUGUUGGAUUUUAUCCGACAACGUCCUUCAUAAUCAAUCACUUUGGAAGUUAUUUAUCUGAUAUAUAAUGCCAUUGGUAAAUCCUAUCCUCUGAUUGGUCAAGCAUGCCCUGCUUUCGAGCUGGUGAUAAUUACUCUCGAAGCUUGUAGUAUAUGUUUCUUAGAUGCCCCGAUGGAUUGAACCUAUGCCUUCCUUAAUAUGUGUGAACCCGAAAGUUUUCCAAGGUUCAUACUCCUCUGGUAAUUCACCAGGUAGAUCUUCGCACUCAAAUCAUUUUUAGUAGAGCAGUGAAUGAAAGGUUAUGCAUUGAAGAAGUGGGAGUCGACCUUGAACUUUUUGUUCAUGCCCACAGACACGAUGUGGAACUUAUCAUGAAAGCUUCUUGCAAGAAUAUUUAAUCAUUCGAAUAAUUCUUCCGGUGUCGUAAAUUGGAUCCCUUGCAGUUAUGGUUCCGACCAUGCUAACCUUAUUCAUUAUAUCUGAAAGGAAACCAUUCCAGUGCGUCGUCUAUUAUGACAAGAUUAAAGUAUCUGCUAUUGCAAGUCAACGCUCCAGUUCAGUUUCUCCUUUCCCCGUCAUAGUCACUCCACGGGUUCUGGGUUGUCGUCAACCGAGAACACCGAUUUGUGAAUCAAAUCAACACUGAGAUUCAGUACUCCCAGUACUUUGUUGUUGAGAAGUUUAAUACUCCAUCACGUCACUCCUAGCCUCAUCGGCUACAUCAUUAUCGUGCUAAUUUUAACUAUGCUACCUGGUCCUUCUUCCCGGAGCACAAUUUUUGAUGAUGAGCUAAGCUUAUGUAGAUCUUCCUCAUCAUAUCAUAUCACCUUGAACCGCAAGCUUGGUCUCGAGUUUGUGUCGUACCCUUGGUUCCAAUAACCUUUCGCUUCACCAUUCCUUUGACUUGAUGUCAUUGCCGAUCGAUUACAUCUUGAAAUCUCUCGACAAAUGUGUCGUGAUCAUCAUCAACCUUCUGAGCUCUUCCAGGAUAUUAUUCGAAUUCAUGACGAGAAAUACCAUCCUUGCCCUCGAUGAUUUGUGUUAUCAUUGGCCAUUUUCUUGCCUUCCCUCCAACACAAACUUGUUCGUGUUUUGUGUUAUACCUUGAGUUCCUUGCUCCAGCAUUUGUUCUUCCUUACCUUGGAAUAUUACCACCUUGUAUGACAAGAAUGGCGUGGGAAUUUCACCACCUCCUGAGAAUUCUUGAUACAAGUGAUACUUCUCACCAUCACCAUUCCUUCUUGGUCCCCGUGUUGUUUAUAACCGGAAUGCCGACAAAUGAACUAUGAUGUGUGAAUUCAAAACUUCUAGCAACCCUAUCGCUUGUAAGUUACGAAUGAUAGUUGCUUUCUUCUUGUGUUGGUUAUUGACUCAUCAUCCUAACAUUGAUCAUGCUACUUAGCCCAUAUUUCGGGUGCACUUUUCAACCAAUGUUUAAGUGUGUAUGUUUUUCCUGGAGCAUACAUCAUUAUGUCAUUUGAUAUGACAAAUGUUAUCUCCUUGUUCACAUAAUUGUGGAAAUCCCGAUGCUAUGUCGUUGAGUCCAUCAGCCACCCCUUAUCCUCUCCUUGGUUUAAUGAUGAACUCUUGUUUCGGAACUCGCUUCCAUAGUUCAUUUCCCGAGAAUCUUACAACGUCAUCUCGACAAUUUGUGUUGAACUUUUCUUCUUAGGCAUCCUGAGUCUGAGGUAUCCUGACACCAAUCAGAUAUGAAACUCGGUUAGAUAUGAUGGUUGGAACAUUUUCCAAGAGUCAUAGCAAUGGUGUUUUUAUAAACCAGUAAGGUGACGUCAUGCCUAGCACACCUGGCCGGAGGACCUAUUGCAAUUGUAUCCUUUUACCAAGGUUAGCCAUUCGCCCAUGAGGAAAUUGUAAGACUUAUUCUAUAAGUUGUUUCAGAUGGAUCCUUUGCGUAUCCAACGUCUGAUCUUUACCCAGUGACCAUGUCAAUGCUAUAUCGAAGCAUGUCUAUGGUACUUCGAUUUUCAACAAGAACAUUUGAAGCCCAAUGCUAAAUGUUUCCUGCUCAAUUAUCCAAACACCGCUGUAUGGGUAAUGUCAUGAAAUUUCUCUCCCCUACGUAAAGAGUUUUCUACAUUAUAUCCUGUCAUGGAUAUCAUGCUCUGCUUGUCCUUGGGAAGGAUAUAACCUUGAAAAUUGUGUUUAAACACAUUUUCCUUUCCAUUGUUCUGUUUAAUCUGAUAAUCAUAUUUUCCUUUUCAUUGGUUGGUUUAACGUUGCUUGUGAUCUAUAUGAUUUAAACAGUAAUAUUCUCCUGCUUAUGUAAACAUCUCGGUGUACAAUUCUGUCAGCAAGACCCUGUUACUAUUGUUGAUGACAUUCCGGUAGCCACCGAUGGACGAAAACUUUGCCUAUUGGUCCGCCUCGUUCAACGAGCAGGAAAAUGGUUCUCUUCGUCCCUCGCCCUUGGUAUCGACAUUGUUGCCAACAUAACUGAUAGGCUACCCUCUGACAUGUCUUGCUAUCAUGACCGUGCAAGAUGUCAACGCCUUUCCUACUUUUAACCACAUGGUGGGCCCAUAACCCACAAGUCCACAUGAUCGAUACCUGACUCUCCUGUACACCCCCAGUUUCCUAAGUUAUUCCUCGCGCGUGGCCUCAUAUGUAAUUCACGAGCCACCUUCCUAGUGAUCUAUUCUGGUAAUAGACGCAAAUACUCAAUCUCGUUGCUCUGGGCCCCUUUCGCACGUUGCUUCAGACAUCGAACGAUUCCCUAUCCGUUUGAAACUUCUCAUGGUACCUUCUUACUUUGCUCUUGAUAUCUUCUUAAGUUUCAAUUCGAGAGAUACUUAUGCUUCUUCCCAUGAGUUAACCGACCGAUGCUCAAUCUAGUUAGAACCCGUCCUUAUAGAGUUUUUCCCCUCUUAUCCUUUCGUAAGUUCGGUGAAGUUCCUGAAGGAAGGACGACAACCUCAUCAUGUUGUAUUGAUGCAUAGGAAUGAAGACAUCAAUGCUAUGGAUCGACCACUUCGAGAAGAGCAACCUAGACCGAGAAGACUCGCUAGAAUUUCGUAACCAAAUCCUUUCCCCAUUACUCCCCCUCGUAAAUCUCGGGACGAGAUUUCUUGUAGUGGAGGAGAAUUGUGAUGCCCGGAUAAUUAAGCUACAGUGAUCCCCGCUAAUGAUGCCACGUCACCUCGGUUACUGUGGAUAAACUCGCGUUAGUUCGAAACCUAGUUCGAAUUUCAAAUUUAAAACAAAGGCAAACAAUAAAAGUUUUCAAACACUAAACUAAAAUGUUCGGAGUGUGCCAAUUAAUGCUUAGAUAUUUAUGGUGAAUAAACCACGGUUUUACAGAAUGUCUAAAUACUUUAAAAUAAAUUAAAACAAAAAAGAAAUAAGAUGAGAAAAAGAAAAGGAAAAACAAAAACAGAAAACAGAAAACUAACAAAAAAGAAAAGGAG
rnacentral:lncRNA from 1 species